rnacentral:rRNA from 1 species
ACUCCUACGGGAGGCAGCAGUGGGGAAUAUUGCACAAUGGGCGCAAGCCUGAUGCAGCAACGCCGUGUGAGUGAAGAAGGUUUUCGGAUCGUAAAACUCUGUCCUAAGGGAAGAAAAAAUAGACGGUACCUUAGGAGGAAGCCCGGCCAACUACGUGCCAGCAGCCGCGGUAAUACGUAGGGGGCGAAGCGUUAUCCGGAAUCACUGGGGCGUAAAGGGUGCGUAGGCGGCUUAGCAAGCCAGGGGUGAAAGGCAUUGGCUCAACCAAUGUAAGCCUUUGGAACUGUUAAGCUUGAGUGCAGGAGAGGUAAGUGGAAUUCCUAGUGUAGAGGUGAAAUUCGUAGAUAUUAGGAGGAACACCAGUGGCGAAGGCGACUUACUGGACUGUAACUGACGCUGAUGCACGAAAGCGUGGGUAGCGAACAGGAUUAGAUACCCUGGUAGGUCAGUC